GACGAAGGAUGCAAGCGUUAUCCGGAUUCAUUGGGUUUAAAGGGAGCGUAGGUGGCCUGCUAAGUCAGUGGUGAAAUCUCUGGGCUUAACCCAGAAAUUGCCAUUGAUACUGGUGGGCUUGAGUGCAGUUGCUGUUGGCGGAAUAUGACAUGUAGUGGUGAAAUACAUAGAGAUGUCAUAGAACACCGAUUGCGAAGGCAGCUAACAAAACUGUAACUGACACUGAGGCUCGAAAGUGUGGGGGAUCAAACAGG
rnacentral:rRNA from 1 species